UACGUAGGGUGCAAGCGUUAAUCGGAAUUACUGGGCGUAAAGCGUGCGCAGGCGGUUAUGUAAGACAGGUGUGAAAUCCCCGGGCUUAACCUGGGAACUGCAUUUGUGACUGCAUAGCUAGAGUACGGUAGAGGGGGAUGGAAUUCCGCGUGUAGCAGUGAAAUGCGUAGAUAUGUGGAGGAAUACCGAUGGCGAAGGCAGCCCCCUGGGUCAAGACUGACGCUCAUGCACGAAAGCGUGGGGAGCAAACAGG
rnacentral:rRNA from 1 species